CAGGGAACUUGCCUUUGACUCCCAAAUCACUUAUGCAAAGUCACACCUGGGAACAGGAGCACAGUGUUUUGGCCUCUGCAACAUCCUCUGGACAGCAGGGACCGAGGAGCCUUGGUGGAUGACAGGUUGAUGAUGAGCCAGCAGUGCGUCCCUGCAGUCAGAAGGAAUGGAACUCCCAAUGGAAUCCCGGAUUGCCUUGGGAAGAGCGUGGCCAACAGAGGAACCCACACAGGGAGGAGGUGCUGGAAUUCUGGACAUGGCCCUUCAGGCAGCUUUUCCAGUGUGAUUUGCAGAGUCUCAGACUUUCCCCAGCUGCUGCAACCAAGGCCGUGGGCAAAGACAGCAAGACUUGGACUGCUGGAGGAUUUGGGAAUUUUUGAAGACAUUCCAGCAAAACCUUACAUGGGACA